GUAAGCCGUGUGAGGGAAAACUUCAUGCACGGUUUGAUGAAGGGGGCGCUGGCAGUUCUAUUUCGC
rnacentral:ncRNA from 1 species